rnacentral:tRNA from 1 species
GCCCGGGUGUUGAAAUUGGUAGACAAGCUACCUUGAGGUGGUAGUGCCGAAAGGCGUGCUGGUUCAAGUCCAGUCUCGGGCA